rnacentral:rRNA from 1 species
GAUCAUGGCUCAGGAUGAACGCUAGCUACAGGCUUAACACAUGCAAGUCGAGGGGCAGCAUGGUCUUAGCUUGCUAAGGCUGAUGGNGACCGGCGCACGGGUGAGUAACACGUAUCCAACCUGCCGUCUACUCUUGGCCAGCCUUCUGAAAGGAAGAUUAAUCCAGGAUGGGAUCAUGAGUUCACAUGUCCGCAUGAUUAAAGGUAUUUUCCGGUAGACGAUGGGGA